UACGUAGGGUGCGAGCGUUGCCCGGAUUUAUUGGGCGUAAAGGGCGCGUAGGCGGCCUGACAAGUGGAAGGUGAAAUCCCUCGGCUUAACCGAGGAACUGCCCUCCAAACUGUUUGGCUUGAGACCGGGAGAGGUGAGUGGAAUUCCCAGUGUAGCGGUGAAAUGCGUAGAUAUUGGGAGGAACACCAGUGGCGAAGGCGGCUCACUGGACCGGUACUGACGCUGAGGCGCGAAAGCGUGGGGAGCAAACGGG
rnacentral:rRNA from 1 species